rnacentral:miRNA from 10 species
GGGAAUCAGAGCUGUCUUCGCA